GAUGAACGCUGGCGGCGUGCCUAAUACAUGCAAGUCGAGCGAACAGACGAGGAGCUUGCUCCUCUGACGUUAGCGGCGGACGGGUGAGUAACACGUGGAUAACCUACCUAUAAGACUGGGAUAACUUCGGGAAACCGGAGCUAAUACCGGAUAAUAUAUUGAACCGCAUGGUUCAAUAGUGAAAGACGGUUUUGCUGUCACUUAUAGAUGGAUCCGCGCCGCAUUAGCUAGUUGGUAAGGUAACGGCUUACCAAGGCAACGAUGCGUAGCCGACCUGAGAGGGUGAUCCGCCACACUGGAACUGAGACACGGUCCAGACUCCUACGGGAGGCAGCAGUAGGGAAUCUUCCGCAAUGGGCGAAAGCCUGACGGAGCAACGCCGCGUGAGUGAUGAAGGUCUUCGGAUCGUAAAACUCUGUUAUUAGGGAAGAACAAAUGUGUAAGUAACUAUGCACGUCUUGAUGGUACCUAAUCAGAAAGCCACGGCUAACUACGUG
rnacentral:rRNA from 1 species